rnacentral:lncRNA from 1 species
UCUCUCUCUCUCAUUUCUCUUUCUAUCUCUCUGUCUCUCUCUCUCUCUCAUUUUUCUCUCUCUCUCUCUCUCCCCCCUGGCUCUUAGAACCCAGCCAAGGGUGUUGUGAAGAAGCCAGAGAGUCAUCCAGGAAAACCAUACAUCAAUGUCAUUGGUGCUCCAGGCACAGCCCAGCUCAACUGAGGUCCCCAAUGACGCCAUCAUUAACCACCAGACUUGGGAGUGAAUGAAGCUUCAGAUGGUUCCAGCCCCCAACUUUCAAGCACACCCAGUGAUGCUGAGUGCAGCUGAUACAAGCUGUCCCCAACAAGCCCUGCCCAAGUUACAGAUUUGUGAGCAAACUAUCGAAGUGCGGUGCCGCAUCCCUAUUACCUUCAAUAGGGAUGGUACCAGGUUCAAGAGUCUGAAGAAGAGAUGCAGU